GAUGAACGCUGGCGGCGUGCCUAAUACAUGCAAGUCGAGCGAACAGACGAGGAGCUUGCUCCUCUGACGUUAGCGGCGGACGGGUGAGUAACACGUGGAUAACCUACCUAUAAGACUGGGAUAACUUCGGGAAACCGGAGCUAAUACCGGAUAAUAUAUUGAACCGCAUGGUUCAAUAGUGAAAGACGGUUUUGCUGUCACUUAUAGAUGGAUCCGCGCCGCAUUAGCUAGUUGGUAAGGUAACGGCUUACCAAGGCAACGAUGCGUAGCCGACCUGGGAGGGUGAUCGGCCACACUGGAACUGAGACACGGUCCAGACUCCUACGGGAGGCAGCAGUAGGGAAUCUUCCGCAAUGGGCGAAAGCCUGACGGAGCAACGCCGCGUGAGUGAUGAAGGUCUUCGGAUCGUAAAACUCUGUUAUUAGGGAAGAACAAAUGUGUAAGUAACGAUGCACGUCUUGACGGUACCUAAUCAGAAAGCCACGGCUAACUACGUGCCAGCAGCCGCGGUAA
rnacentral:rRNA from 1 species